GAUGAACGCUGGCGGCGUGCCUAAUACAUGCAAGUCGAGCGAACAGACGAGGAGCUUGUUCCUCUGACGAUAGCGGCGCACGGGUGAGUAACACGUGGAUAACCUACCUAUAUGACUGGGAUAACUUCGGGAAUCCGGAGCUAAUACCGGAGAAUAUAUUUAACCGCAUGGUUCAAUAGUGAAAGACGGUUUUGCUGUCACUUAUAGAUCGAUCCGCGCCGCAUUAGCUUGUUGGUAAGGUAACGGCUUACCAAGGCACCGAUGCGUAGCCGACAUGAGAGGGUGAGUGGCCACACUGAGAGGGAGGCACGCUACAGACUGCAACGGUAAGCGGCAGGAGGGAAGCGGCAGCAAUGGGAGGAAACUUGACGGAACACCGCCGCGUGAGAGAUGAGGGACGUCGGGUGGUAAAACACGGUUAUUAGGUUAGAACAAAUUUGUAAGUAACACGACGCGUCUUUACGGGAAGAAGGAGAAAAACCACGGCGUACUUCGGG
rnacentral:rRNA from 1 species